rnacentral:lncRNA from 1 species
CACUAUUGUAAAGUGGUUGUUCCACUGGAUAUCAUAAGGUGAAUGCACCAAUUUGUAAGUCGCUCUGGAUAAGAGCGUCUGCUAAAUGACUUACAUGUAAAUGUAAAUGUAUUAUUAUUAUUUCCGUAGCCUAGGUUACACUAAUCGUCACGCUAGUCACUGACCUGUAUUACCUGUCCGUGAAGGCUAUAUCUGUACAGUGAUUUGAAUGCCAGUCUGCUGCACUCCAGUACUGUACCAGCACCACGAGAAUGGCGUAUCGGAAUGCACAACUCAUCGGUCCUUGUCAGCAGGCGACCACACUGGGUUCCACUCCUAUCCGCUGAAAACAAGAAGAAGCGGCUCCAACGGGCACGCGAUCACCAGCACUGGACACUUACACUAGCCAAAGCCAUGUUAUAUCAAUUUGAUACAUUCUCAUAAAGGUGGCAUUUGAUCUGGUGCUGGACGAGAGAUGCAUACAGCAGUAACACGGCCAAUUCGUUCUUUAAUUCCUUUGCAUUUGUUUUCGCAUGUAAAACACAUAAAUAGCUGUUGCUACAAGAAAGAUUAGAAGAUUACUAGAGAACAGUAGAUAUUUGAUCCAGGGGUAAAAUGGCUCCUCUUAAAGUUCUGCAAGAAGAAGACAGUCAUGUUAGCAAUACAACAUGUUGUGUAGAGAGAAUGCUAUCAAACCUAUUAUAACAUGUUGUUCAUCAUAUUGCCAAGUCCUAGACUCAACUGCACUAGGUGCUUUCCCGGACACAGAUUAAGCCUUGUCUGGAUGAAAAAACACGUAAAAUGGAGAUUCUCUAUUGAGUAAUUGUUUUUGUCCAGGACUAGGCUAAAUUGACUAGACUUGUUUUAAAAGUGCUUUUUAAAAACAAAAAUAAAUAAAUUAAGGCCUAAUCCAGGAUUUGGUGGUGAUUGUAUAAAUUAUCCUAGUUCUUUAGUAACUUGAUUUAGGACAUAAUGUAAAAUAAAAUAAUAAAGAAAUUAUAUAACUGUUUACAUUACAGCAAAACAAAUUGAGCUAUUACAUCUUUAUUUAAUACAUUUCGGUGAAACGGACACAUAAUGUACUAAACUAGUAUUUAGCAUGAAUAAAACCUUAUAGUGACUUACCACUUGGAGCCACAGUUGUCUUGUCCUGGGUGACUUCUGGUGAAAGGGAAAAUAAGAGGGAUAUCAUUUUCUGAAGAAUCCUUACUACAUAUAGAUAUACAACAUCAUAAGAUAUACAGUAAUACAUACCCUUUACUUCCAUCUCUUCGAAAAUCUGAACAGAACCCAUCCCAAAAUAUCUUUUAUAUUGUCCAUCAAAGUAGCACUCUGCUGUACAGUUUGGCAUAUCUCUGUCAUGUAAGGUCAGGUUUCUUAAUGUCAUGGAAGUGGUGCUUUCAAUUGACUCAAUGUUUACACGUUGCUUAUACAACUCUGUCUUCAGGACAUCUAUUGUUCGGUUUUUGUUGUUGAUAUCCAUGAUUACCCAAUGCAUUUCACAGUUCUCUAUCACCUCCUGAUCGGAGGUUAUGUUGCAAUGCAAAAUGGCUGUGUCUCCCAAUGUGUAGCGAGUUUCAGACGUCCACUGGUUUACCUUCACACUAGUGUGUGCAGGACCUUGUGGAGAAGAGACAAAGAGUGUGUGGGUAAUGAGAUACUGUAAGAAUAGAAUCAUCUGUCUAAUUGAGGUCUUGUCAGUGCAUGCCAUCUAAGUGGUCAUGUAUCAGGUAAAGCUCUGAUGCUUCCUCUGAAUCUUUCCUCUACAUUUUACUGCAUAUUAUCAAACAGUUAAACAUAGAUAUAAAAAAAAAACACGGGAAUAUUUUCUUACCUGCCAGUAACAGCAAUAGAAAAGCGCGGAACAUUGGUGAUCUAAUUGUGUCGUUUCUUUGUUGAAUAUGGUUCCAACACAUGUGAAAAUGAUUGACUUGUUUCCUGUACCUAAGAAGAAAAGAGCAGUUAUAGCCACAGAAACCACAUUGACACAGGCAUUCAAUGUACUGUAACAUUGACAGAAUUUUCAAGAAACGGGUCAAAGUGUUUCAUGGCUGUUCUAUACAUGUGGCUGCCACUGGUUAUAAUUUGGUGUCGGAAUGCAACAUUACAAUAGUUGCAAUAGUCCUGAGAAUGACUGCACAUGUAAGGAUUGUGAUAUUGCUCACCUUUUUAUAUGUUCCUGUAAAAACUCCAUCAGUCAAUGAAGAUCCAGGAUUCACCAUUACUUGUACAAAUCGCAAAGGUGAAGUCAUAUACCGUAAAAAGGACUGGACUACAGCUUUUUCAGCAGGCAAUGCUAAAUGUACAAAGCGAGCAAAAGGCAAAGAAUUUCAGUGCCUAGAGGUAGACAGCGCCAUCAACAACACUUCAUUAUGUUCCUCAAAUACAGAGUGUUGAUUCAAUGAUAUGUUUGAAGAGGAAGAAUAUGUGAAAUGCAUUAUUCAGAAAAAUUGUAGGUUUUACUUAUUACAGCAUGCAGCUAGGAAUGUUGUAUAAUUUCACAUUUCCAAUAUUUGCAUUUCAGUGGCAAUCCGAACUCUUUGAGACAUUUAAAAACCAAAAUAUCAAUUUCCCCUCAUACGGUGGCAUCUGGAGAGGGUGGAAAAAAUCAACAAAUUCACAAAAUACAAAACCAUUCGGAACAAAUCAAAUUUCACAUCUUGAUCAUAGCCAUACCAGUAUUAGGGCUAUUCAUUGUAUGAUUGGUAAGUUAAUUUACUCAUUUUGACCACUCACCGUUAGGUUAAGAUAAUUAAAUCAGUACAUUAACUCUAAUCUUGAAACAUUCUGGUAGAAUGAUUAUACUUGUCCUAUCUUAACUUAUUCCAGGUGUGCUGCUAUACCAGAAGAUGGAAAGAUUGACAUCCUCAAACAUCUAAGGAGUAUUCACUAGUAACUUAAUAGAAUCAAAUGGAAGCAAGCCCCCCUAAUGAUUGCAUCCAACUAUAACAAACCAUGGCAGGCAGCAAAAACCAUAUUGUCUGUGACGACAAGCCUUUCAGUUGUCUGUGACGACUGAAAGAAGGAAAAAAAUCCCACUUAACAUGCAGAAGAUAACACAACAAUAAGAGACAACCUUUUAAUAAAUUCAGAAUUUGGAUGACUGUGAUUUUUUUAAAAAGUAUUACUUUUUAAAGCAGUGUUUUGUAUUUUGUAGAAUCUGUAAGGUCAAUAAGACUUUUAUUUUGUUGUUAAAAGACAAGCUUUAUCAUUUUGUUAUAAGACACUUUAUCAUUUUGUUCAGUUGCUUAGCUACCAGGUUUAGGGUAAUUUCGAAUGGAAGUCUUAGGAAGUGACUUUAGGAAGUAAUUUGAAUAAAAAUAUUUAAAAGAAAAAAAAUGUUUCACAUGAAUAGCAUCUCCUUUUCAGUUUAUUGAGAAGUCUUUGAAAAUAGAUGUCCUUUUUUCAAUUGUCGAAUUGACUGGCUUCAAUUUUUAUUGACCCCAGCCCUGUUACAGGGUAUGACAAUGACUGACUAUGACUUUCCCUUCCUCCUUCAAAAUCCCCAUUUGAGGAGC